rnacentral:lncRNA from 1 species
UACGUGGGGCUGCCUCUGAAGAGUGCUUGGAAACUUCAGCUGGUCCAUAGACCUGCAGCCGGGUUGCUCACUGGGGCUGGCUACAGGGAGUGGACAAUCCCACUGCUGAAGCAACUCCACUGGCUGCCAGUCUAUUUCUGGGCACAAUUCAAAGUGCUGGUUAAGACCUUUAAAGCUCUAGAUGGUUCCGGUCCAAGCUAUUUGGCUGACUGCAUCCCUUUGUACAAACCUGUUCAGGCCCUGAGAUCUUCAGGAGAGGCCCUUCUCUUGGUUCCACUUCCAUCUCAAGCUCAGUUGUUGAAACUUGAUACCUCUAGUCGUCGUGGUGCUAUAGCGGAGGGUAUCACUGCCACUUCUCCGCCAUCGGGGGAGGAGGCCUUUGUGAGAGGGGAUAGUGUUAUGAUUGAGCCUCAUGGCUCUGUUACUGACAGACGUGGGCGUAAGACUCCUCGAGAGUCAGAUACUCUCGAGGAGCGAGAGAGAAAAAGACUGCGAGACAUAUUUGCAGCACCAUCUGACGAGGAGUCUUUCGAAGGGUUUACGGAGAGAAUGGAGGAGGGGCUGGUUAGCUCAGAGGAGGAUGAGAUGGAUUGGACUCGGGUAAGGGAGGAAGUGGGUGCCACUGGCCAUGAUGGGACAGAAGAUGAAUGGGGACCUUCAGGAUUAGACCCAUGGUUUAGCUGGAGGGAUGGGACGGGAUCCACAGCUGGAGAUGCUGUUGGGCGUAGUCAGAGGUGUUCCAGCUCUGACGAGGAAAGUGAUGAGGAAACGCCCGGGUUAAGGAGGACAGCUGACAGUGAUGAGGAAACGCCCGGGUUAAGGAGGACAGCUGACAGUGAUGAGGAAACGCCCGGGUUAAGGAGGACAGCUGACAGUGAUGAAGAUUUGUACUGGCAUAAAAUGGGGCUUGAGAGCAAUUGCAAAUUGCGUUGGGCAAGGUAAUCUGGGCAAACGCUUGGGAUCCGUGUGUGUGUGGGACGCUUCCCUGAAGACUUGUGUGCUUUCCUGUGCUGUGACGUAAGUUGAUUGGAAUCCAGGGUCAGACGGCGGGAGGGAUUGUGUGGGCAUUUGUUUGUGCAAACCUGUGCUUACUCUUAUUAGCUUGACCUUCCGUCGUCUUCUUGACGGACGCCAUCUCCUGCUUUGAGAACUCGGACUGAACUGACCACGGCUUGUCUUCCCCCCUUCUUGGACUUGGAAAAACUACAAACGUCUGCUUCUGGCUUUGAUCUACGGAACGGAACUGGUCUACUCA